rnacentral:rRNA from 1 species
UACGGAGGAUCCGAGCGUUAUCCGGAUUUAUUGGGCUUAAAGGGUGCGUAGGCGGAUUGGUAAGUUAGCUGUGAAAGUUUACGGCUCAACCGUGAAAUUGCAGUUAAUACUGUUGGUCUUGAGUAUACAUGAGGUGAGUGGAAUUCGUGGUGUAGCGGUGAAAUGCUUAGAUAUCAGGAAGAACACCAGUUGCGAAGGCGGCUCACUGGGGUAUAACUGACGCUGAGGCGCGAAAGUGUGGGUAUCAAACAGG